UAUGGCUCAGAACGAACGCUGGUAGCGUGGAUUAGGCAUGCAAGUCGGACGGGAUCCGGAAGGUAGCAAUAUCGGCCGGUGAGAGUGGCGGACUGGGGAGGAACACGUGAGCAACUUGCCCGCGAGGACGGGGAAAACCGUUGGAAACGACGGCUAAUACCGGAUGCGGCGCGCAUGGGACAUCCCGUGUGCGCCAAAGGGGGCCGCAAGGCUCCCGCCCGCGGAGAGGCUCGCGCACCAUCAGCUAGUUGGCGGGGUAACGGCCCACCAAGGCCUACGGUUAGCUGGUCUGAGAGGAUGACCAGCCCCACUGGGACUGAGACACUGCCCAGACUCCUACGGGAGGCUGCAGUCGAGGAUCAUUUGCAAUGGGCGAAAGCCUGACAAUGCGACGCUUGCGUGGAGGAUGAAGGCCUUCGGGUUGUAAACUCCUGUCAUGGGGGAACAGGCGAGGGGACCCAACACGUCCCUUAGUUGAGUGUACCCCAAGAGGAAGGGACGGCUAACUCUGUGCCAGCCGCCGC
rnacentral:rRNA from 1 species